AAUUACAAUAAGCUUAGUUCUCGGCGUUGCCGAGAAGCGGGGAAACCAAUCUUUUGGGGCGAAUCAGCCGGUUAUCGGCUGUAGGGAACCAUCUAUCCCGAGUCCGUCAGCUAACCUCGUCAGCUUUGAGAUGGGUCUU
rnacentral:sRNA from 2 species